rnacentral:rRNA from 1 species
CUACGGGUUGCUCCAGUGAGGAGUAUUGCACAAUGGGGGGAACCCUGAUGCAGCAACGCCGCGUGGAGGAUGACGCAUUUCGGUGUGUAAACUCCUUUUAUAUGUCAAGAAAAUGACGGUAGCAUAUGAAUAAGCACCGGCUAACUCCGUGCCAGCAGCCGCGGUAAUACGGAGGGUGCAAGCGUUACUCGGAAUCACUGGGCGUAAAGGACGCGUAGGCGGGUUGGAAAGUCAGGUGUGAAAUCCUACAGCUUAACUGUAGAACUGCACUUGAAACUUCUAGUCUAGAGUAUGGGAGGGGGAGAUGGAAUUAGUGGUGUAGGGGUAAAAUCCGUAGAUAUCACUAGGAAUACCUAAAGCGAAGGCGAUCUCCUGGAACAUUACUGACGCUAAGGCGUGAAAGCGUGGGGAGCAAACAGGAUUAGAUACCCCUGUAGUC